UGUGAAUGCAGGAGAUUGAGUCGCUCAGUGGCCUCCAGCAGCUCCUGCUCUGCCAGCCGCCGGCUGCGCUCUCCCUGUUCCAGGACAGCCCGCAGCUCCUCAAGCUCAGCAGCAAGCAAUGCUGUCCGGCGCUCCAAGGCCUGUGCCUGCUCUCGAAGCUCCGCAGCCAGCCUCUGCUCCUCGUCCCGCCCUGCCUGCUCCUCCUUGAGUUGGGCCUGCAGCAGCCGUGUGGCUGCCUGUGCCUCCAUGGUCUGGCGGGUGGCGUGGCCCAGCUGCAGCUCCAGGUCAUUGAGGUCACCCUCCAUCUUCUUCUUGAGCCUCAGUGCCUCAUUGCGGGCCCGGGUCUCUGCAUCCAGGGAAGCCUGCAGAGACUCCACGGCCCGCUGGUGGUUGCGCCUGUGGGAAGGCAGGAUAUGGGGUAGGCUGGGCACGUGAGAAAGGAGUGGCACAAGCAACCCACGUGCCCUCACAAAUGCCCAAGGAUUGCUGGGGAUGGAGACCCAUUUGGGGGAGGAGUCUUCCUGCCCUGUUUUAAAGCCCUUUGUGUUACCUGUUGCUCUCUAUAGAGUGAGGCCCAGAGACAGACAUGGAGUAAACUCUGGGUUGACCUGUGUGACCCUGGGUUUCCCUUAGCUUCCGGGAGGUUCACCUCUGGAAUGGGGACCUGAGAAAGCCAUGUGGCAGGGGAAGACUAGAUGUCCAGCUCAGCAUGCCACCAUAGGCACAGACACUGCUUUCUGUCCUUUCUCUGCCGGGAGAAGGGCAGCAGCCAGACCUCAGGGCCUCAAGUGCCUCUUCAUGGCUGUGCCGAAGCCGGAAGAGCUCAGUGCCCAGGCCACGAGCUUCCCUCUGUGCCGCCUCCAGCUCUCGCUGUGUCUCCUCCUCCUGCCGCCUCCGCUCCUCCAGAGCCCGCUCCAAAUGUCGCUGCUUCUUAUCCAGCACAGCAGCCGCUGAAGUUGCCCUUUCCAGCUCCAGCGUCACAUCCUCUGUCUCCGUCUGCAGCCGUAGCUUGGCCUUCUCCAGUGACGAGCACUUGGCAUUUGCAGCUUCUACGCCCUCUUCUGCCUCCUGCAGUCGUAGGGCCAGCUUCUUUCUGGGCC
rnacentral:lncRNA from 1 species